GAUGAACGCUGGCGGCGUGCCUAAUACAUGCAAGUCGAGCGAAUGGAUUAAGAGCUUGCUCUUAUGAAGUUAGCGGCGGACGGGUGAGUAACACGUGGGUAACCUGCCCAUAAGACUGGGAUAACUCCGGGAAACCGGGGCUAAUACCGGAUAACAUUUUGAACCGCAUGGUUCGAAAUUGAAAGGCGGCUUCGGCUGUCACUUAUGGAUGGACCCGCGUCGCAUUAGCUAGUUGGUGAGGUAACGGCUCACCAAGGCAACGAUGCGUAGCCGACCUGGGAGGGUGAUCGGCCACACGGGGACUGAGACACGGCCCAGACUCCUACGGGAGGCAGCAGUAGGGAAUCUUCCGCAAUGGACGAAAGUCUGACGGAGCAACGCCGCGUGAGUGAUGAAGGCUUUCGGGUCGUAAAACUCUGUUGUUAGGGAAGAACAAGUGCUAGUUGAAUAAGCUGGCACCUUGACGGUACCUAACCAGAAAGCCACGGCUAACUACGUGCCAGCCGCCGCGGUAAUAC
rnacentral:rRNA from 1 species